rnacentral:rRNA from 1 species
UACGGGGGGGGCAAGCGUUGUUCGGAAUUACUGGGCGUAAAGGGCUCGUAGGCGGCCAACUAAGUCAGACGUGAAAUCCCUAGGCUCAACCUAGGAACUGCGUCUGAUACUGGAUGGCUUGAAUCCGGGAGAGGGAUGCAGAAUUCCAGGUGUAGCGGUGAAAUGCGUAGAUAUCAGGAGGAACACCGGUGGCGAAGGCGGGUCUCUGGGCCGAUACUGACGCUGAGGAGCGAAAGCGUGGGGAGCGAACAGG